rnacentral:rRNA from 1 species
GGCUCAGGAUGAACGCUAGCGACAGGCCUAACACAUGCAAGUCGAGGGGCAGCACAAGGAGCAAUCUGAGGUGGCGACCGGCGCACGGGUGAGUAACACGUAUGCAACCUGCCUGUAAGCGGGGAAUAACCCGUUGAAAGACGGACUAAUACCGCAUAAUACUAAAUUACUGCAUGGUAAUUUAUUUAAACAUUUAUGGCUUACAGAUGGGCAUGCGCAUGAUUAGCUAGUUGGAGAGGUAACGGCUCCCCAAGGCAACGAUCAUUAGGGGUUCUGAGAGGAAGGUCCCCCACACUGGUACUGAGACACGGACCAGACUCCUACGGGAGGCAGCAGUGAGGAAUAUUGGUCAAUGGACGAGAGUCUGAACCAGCCAAGUCGCGUGCAGGAAGAAUGUCCUAUGGAUUGUAAACUGCUUUUGCAGGGGAAUAAAGUGCAUCACGUGUGAUGUUUUGUAUGUACUCUGCGAAUAAGGAUCGGCUAACUCCGUGCCAGCCGCGGC